UGCAGUCGAGCGAUGAAGUUUCUUCGGAAAUGGAUUAGCGGCGAACGGGUGAGGAACACGUGAAGAAUCUGCCCUCCACUUUGGGAUAACACCGGGAAACCGGUGCUAAUACCGAAUAUUGAAACAUAAGUGGCAUCACUGAGUUUUGAAAGAAUUUCGGUGGAGGAUGACUUCGCGGCCUAUCAGCUAGUUGGUGAGGUAAUGGCUCACCAAGGCAACGACGGGUAGCCGGCCUGAGAGGGCGACCGGCCACACUGGGACUGAGACACGGCCCAGACUCCUACGGGAGGCAGCAGUGGGGAAUAUUGGGCAAUGGAGGAAACUCUGACCCAGCGACGCCGCGUGCGGGAUGAAGGCCUUCGGGUUGUAAACCGCUUUCAGUAGGGAAGAAGCGAAAGUGACGGUACCUACAAAGGAAGCACCGGCUAACUAUGUGCCAGCAGCCGCGGUAAUACAUAGGGUGCAAGCGUUGUCCGGAAUUAUUGGGCGUAAAGAGCUCGUAGGUCGUUUGUUACGUCGGAUGUGAAAACCUGAGGCUCAACCUCAGGCCUGCAUUCGAUACGGGCAAACUAGAGUUUGGUAGGGGAGACUGGAAUUCCUGGUGUAGCGGUGGAAUGCGCAGAUAUCAGGAGGAACACCAAUGGCGAAGGCAGGUCUCUGGGCCAGUACUGACACUAAGGAGCGAAAGUCUGGGGAGCGA
rnacentral:rRNA from 1 species